rnacentral:piRNA from 1 species
UACUUUGAGCAAGACUCCCACCUCCU